rnacentral:snoRNA from 1 species
AACCCGUGGUGAGGGUACCUUCUCAAUAAGUCCUUAUACCUCUCUCAUGUAUCGUAAAGAGUUUCUAAAUCCAUCUGCACAAAAGAAGAAAUAUCAUUCCUUAACUU